AUGAACGCUGGCGGCAUGCCUUACACAUGCAAGUCGAACGGCAGCAUGACCUAGCUUGCUAGGUUGAUGGCGAGUGGCGAACGGGUGAGUAAUGCAUCGGAACGUGCCUUUUAGUGGGGGAUAACGUAGCGAAAGUUACGCUAAUACCGCAUAUUCUCUGAGGAGGAAAGCAGGGGACCUUCGGGCCUUGCGCUAGAAGAGCGGCCGAUGUCGGAUUAGCUAGUUGGUGAGGUAAAGGCUCACCAAGGCAACGAUCCGUAGCGGGUCUGAGGGGAUGAUCCGCCACACUGGGACUGAGACACGGCCCAGACUCCUACGGGAGGCAGCAGUGGGGAAUUUUGGACAAUGGGCGCAAGCCUGAUCCAGCCAUGCCGCGUGAGUGAAGAAGGCCUUCGGGUUGUAAAGCUCUUUCGGCUGGGAAGAAAUCGCACCCUCUAAUACAGGGUGUGGAUGACGGUACCAGCAUAAGAAGCACCGGCUAACUACGUG
rnacentral:rRNA from 1 species